ensembl:lncRNA
AACCCGACCACGCCAGCACCCUGAUCUCAGACUUCCGGCUUCCAGAACUGUGGGAAACGAGUAUCUGUUGUUUACAAGCCACCGGCCUACGGGACUGUCAAAGUGGCCAGGACUGAUGGAAACACUAACUGUCCACGUGGGGCAGCCCUCGCCUCCCCAGUACUCCUCUCCCCUCCCCCAGGGUCACAGGGUGCAGUUCUGUGCCGCCUUGGGUACCGGCUGUUUCUCUUUCCUCCUUCCAUUGUUAGCAGACGGAUGAGACGUCAAGAACCUGAGAUUCAUUGGCUCUUGAAACCAGGACUGGGAUCUCAGUUGGUAGACUGUGGGUUUUGGCUGGGUUCGAGUUCCAGCACAUUGGUUCAAGUCCCAAUCUAAGAUAAUCAGUUUCAGAAGCAGGGAAUGGAGGGGCACGCUACUGCAGUAGUCCACAGAGGGAAGAUGAGCUGCCCCGCUGAGGGAGUGGAAAUGGUGAAGAGUAGUCAAAUUGGGGACUUCCUAGGUGGCUCAGUACUAAGGAAUCCACCUGCCAGUGUAGGAGAUGCAGGAGACGGAGACACAGGUUCGAUCCCUGAGUCAGGAAGACCCCCUGAGGAGGAAAUGGCAACCCACUCCAGUAUUCUUGCCUGGAAAUCCCACGGACAGAGGAGCCUAGUGGGCUACAGUUCAUGGGGUCGCCAAGAAUCAGACAGGACUGAGUGAGCACCAUGAGUCAAAUCAGUGUAUUUCAGACAUAGGACUCACAGGACUGCUGACAAAUUGGAUAUGAAAGAUGAGGGAAAGUGAGGCCUACCAGAUUUUUGGUACUAGCAGCUGGGCGUUUGGGGCGCCUUUCCGCAAGGCGGGGGAGGCCAGCGGGAGGUGCUGGGCGUGCAGCCGAGGGCGCAGCUCUCCCUUGUCCAUUCUCCCGUGUCCAGGUUCUCUGCUGGACUUCACUCCGUCUUCUGCGGGACGUUCUCAGCAGACGUCUCUCACGGGCUGCUGCUUUGAGGACUGAACGUUCUGGGUGUCCACUGUUGUCCCCUUGUAGCAUGGAGGACCUUGUCUGUGCCUCCCAACAGAUUCCAGCUCGCCUCUGCAUCCUGCUGGGCUUUGACCACAGACGAGCUGGACUUCUCCAGAGUCCGCCCCAUCCAGCUCAGAACUGCUGUACUUCUGUGGCUGAGUCCUAAAUGCAACCCAAGCUAGAAACUAAAGAAGAACAGAGCAGCCCUUGCUUCGUCACUCCUUACUGAGUAGCUGUGUGACCUUGGACAAGGGACAGAACCUCUCUGAGCCCAGUGGGAAAAUAGUCCUGGCUUUCAGGGCAGUUGUAAGAAUGAAGUGAAGUUCCUUAUGUAAAGCACCUUAGCUUGGAGCUAGGGGGCAGAGGGGGUGAGCCCUAGCCCACAGUCAGAUACCAGGCUUCUAUUUAUCUCUGCUGGUAACUCCAUGUGACCUUGGGUAAGUCUCCUCUGAGUUGAAAUGGACUUAUUCUGUGAUAUCUAGGGAAAAUAUCCAAAAAAGAAAAGUCCCAGUGUGACCCAUUCUGCUAGUUCCUACAUGGCCUUCUGUCACUUCGCAAUAGCAUCCAGGGGCUCAGCAUGCAGGGCGUGGAGACUGCAGACCAAGGAGCAGUCCUCAGCAGGGCCAGGCCCGGCUCUUAGACCGGGGGCCUCUGUGGUGGGUGGGCCCAGCUGUCCAUGGAGGCCAUCCUCGUGGCAGACAGACACCAGCCCGGAGGCUGCUCACUGACUUACCCAGGAAUUCACGAGCCCAGAGGCCAGGGGUCACCUCUCUGUCACCAAGUCGGCCAGAGCACAGGAAAUGCCCAAAAUGGUAGUUGAUCCAAACAGACAUGAGUGACAGUGGGCGGGCGGGCAGCUGCGCCAAAGCCAGAGCUAGCCCAGGGCCAGCAGGUGUGUGAGCAGGUGCUGAGCUGUGGCCAGGUGCUGCCGUCUGCUUGGGCAAGCUGUGGCAGCUGGAUCUGGCUGGAGCACAUAGGUGAGUGCUUGGGAAUCGGAAGUGGAUGGUAGAACAGAGCUAGGGUGCAGGAAGCUGGG